rnacentral:rRNA from 1 species
GACAGAGGGUGCAAACGUUGUUCGGAAUUACUGGGCGUAAAGCGCGUGUAGGCGGCUCGGCAAGUCGGAUGUGAAAGCCCUGGGCUUAACCUAGGAAGUGCAUUCGAAACUGCCAAGCUUGAGUUCUGGAGGGGAAGGCGGAAUUCUCGGUGUAGAGGUGAAAUUCGUAGAUAUCGAGAGGAACACCCGUGGCUAAGGCGGCUCUCUAGUACGGUACUGACGCUGAGACGCGAAAGCGUGGGGAGCGAACAGG